AACACUGGGAGGAACAUGAAGUCUCUGGCCUGGAGAUUCCCCGGUUUGAGCAAGUGAACACAUGGUGGUAAGGAGUCCCUGCAUACUUGGAUGUCAGAACCGAGCGCAGGCCAAGGUUCUCUAAUAGUAUGCAAGCAGGUAAGAUACUCGGAACCGCGACACGGAACGAGGGGGCAUGCACAGGUGAGAGAAAAUGGCUGUAACACCAAAGUCACACAGCCGACUUAGGCAAAGACUGAACCGCAAGAGGGUUCUGGGGCUGCCUGGAGAAGGAGCUGGCCAGUCGGGCAAGGAGCUAAGGCUACAUCGAGGAGCUGCCAUGUAAGCUCCUGGCUGAGACUCUGCCAGGAGUCUCACUGUGUUCGUUGACUCUGCAGGACAACAGAGACUCAACCACACCCGCCUUGGUCGUUUCCUGAACUCUGUUAGCACAAGGUCAGACAUCUUUAAGGAAGAGGUUGAUGGUUCAGAGCACAAGGCUUGCGUCCUCUAGCGAAGGGUGUGCUUCCUGCUCCCUAGCCCCCCAAAUGCAAGUCUGCCCCACGGCAAGCAGCCGGAGAGUUGGGAGGAAUCUGGGAACACCUGGAGAGAGGGCCCUGCUAGAAUCCAUCCUCUAGGCCAGUCUGCUUCCAACCACCUCAAGGAAACCAGUCUAGAAGAAGCAUUCACCCUGGGGCCGCAACUCCACCAAGACUGGGAAAGAAACGGUAGCUGCCGAUCUUAGGACCAUCUAAGUUUGGCCCCUUUUAGUGUCCUGCUUGGUGAAAAGGGCCAGCAAUCCUGUCUCCAUGCCUCAUCCCAGCCUGGUGUUGGGAGCCCAGGCUUAGGCAGCGUACCCACCCAGGCCCCUGCCACACCCACCUUGCUGGGAGAUCCGUUUCACCAACAGGUUAAGCUGCUCCACCACCACCUUCUUCUCACUCUUCAUCAGGUGGGAAAAGCAGUUCCUCAGAGCAGAAGCCAUGGCCUCAGUAUCCCCACCCACGCUCUCCUUCAGCUGUGCUGUGGCAUCAUCUCCAAUCAGCAACUGGAACUCAGGCACCUCUGUAGGGUGGCCAGGGCAAGGAGAUGUCAAGAAUGAGGAGACAGGACAGGAAGAAGUGAGGUCCUCCCACUGCAUCCCUAACCAAAGACCAGCAGCGCUACCCAAACCUUGCUGUAUAGACAUGGCUCACCACCAGCCCUCAGCAACCACACCUGAGCCUGGUCUCACCCUCUGGCCCACUGGCCCCUAAGACUGCCUCAUGAGGCCAAGAUCCCUUUAGUCCCUACGAUAUUAAGCCUCACUGUCUCUAUUUCCCCUCUGGCCCAGGCUCCUCCUAUGUUCCAGGCCCAGUGCAUGUACCCUCAGCAUUCCCACCCAACCUUACUCUUCAUAAAGGUCACAAUCUCCUCCACUGGCCGGAAACCACACAAGCCCUGGAAGGAGGUAAGGGCAAUGGCCAUUUCUGGCUUGUGGUUGGCAUCAGGGUAGUGCUCUGGAGCCUGGAGAUGCAGCUUCUCUGCCAGCUCCUGUGGAUGGGCAGUGGAGGACAACAAUUGGGGUACAGCUACCAUCAUUAGGAGUACCAGCCUCUGCAGUCGCUGCUGCCCACCGCUCCAUUUACCAGAAAACAGUGGCUUCUUACCUCUGGCAAUGAUCGCAGUCAAGGCAUCAUGCAGAAACUUGGAGUUCAGCCUACCCAGGGCAGAAACAUGGGCCAGGGGAGAGCUGGGACAGACUUAAUUAAGAGGCCUGGCCUGGGGCCAGGAACCCUAAACAGGAGGCACAUAAGCUGUGUGAUGAGGGUAAAUGAUUUAGGGGGAGGUAGAGUUAGAUUCUAUCUGGAGUCUCAGGUCAUCCUCAGCUACAUAAUGCAUUUGAGGCCAGCUUGCGCUUUGUAAGAUCUUUAAAAAUCCCCAAAUUAGGGGUUGGAGAAAUGGCUCAGCGGUUAAGAGCACUUGCGGCUCUGGCAGAGGGCUCAGGUUCUUUUCCCAGCAUCCACAUGGUGGCUCACAACCAUCUGUAUCUCCAGUUCUAGUGGCUUUGAUGGCCUCUUCUUUCUUCCAAAGGCACCAAGCAUGCAUGCGAUGUACAUACAUACACGGAGGCAAACACAUAAAAUAAAAUAAUCUUUUUAAAAAGGUCCUGGAAGCCAGGCAUGGUGAUGCACGCCUUUAGUCCCAGCACUUGGGAGGCAGGCAGAUUUCUGAGUUCGAGGCCAGCCUGAUCUACAAAGUGGGUUCCAGGACAGCCAGGGCUAUACCGAGAAACCCUGUCUCGAAAAAAAAAAAAAAAAAAGGUCCUGGAGCUAUAGCUCUGUGGUUAAGAGCACCGGUUGCUCUUGCAGAGGACCUGGGUUCAGCUUGCACCCACACAGCAGCUCAUGACUGUCUGUAUCUCCAAUCUGAGGGAACUCAAAGCCCUCUUCUGGCCUUCCCACACACUCUACUCCUAGAGUGCACAGGCCUACACAUGCAGGCAAAACACUCAUAUACAUAAAAUAAAAAUAAGUAUUUUAAAAAGAGUUUAGUCAGACUGUAUAAGCCAGGCUGUGAGAAGUUUCCACGGUGGGGUGCAGCUGAGGCAGCAGCUGGGGUGCCUGCCCUGUCCUGGAAUUCCGGAAUUGAACUCUCCAAGAGAGCCAGGCGGGGCAAUGCCAGAUAAGAAUAGACCUAGGCUGGGGGAGGGGAAGCCAAGGACAAACUUAGAGACUCUCUCUUGGCAUAGGCCAGUCAGUUGUCCACUUGCACUUAGCUUCUGUAUGUGUCACCAGCAUCUGAGCCUGAGCAGCCAAGCUGUUGUUAGUAAGACUUGAAUUUCGCUAGAGCCUAGUAUGGGUGGAGGGAAGCAGCACUAAUAUCUGUGGGGAGGUCCCCCCAAAAGCCCUUCCCUACCCUGACCUCUGCACCCUCUGAUCCCGUACCUUGUUAGGGUGUGCCUGGAUAGACAGGGCCGUGUCCACUGACAGUACUUUGAAGAGGAAGGGCAGCUUUCCAUUAAAGGUGUUUUUGACCUUUGAGCCCAAGCAGUCCGGGUUUUCAGCAAUCCACUGGCCUAAGGUCUUCUGGGAAAUACGGUUGUCAAGGAUCUUGGCAUCUCCCCGGGGGUGUGUCCCCAUCCACAGCUGGAAGAACAGGAAAGUUGAGAAAAAAGGAAGCAACUGACAGCCCUGGAUGUAUGAAGCAUGUAUCCGUAUCCGCUUAUGAGGUGCUCUUGGGGAUCAAACCCAGGGCCUCAUCUACAGAAAGGAGGUGCUCUACUAUCGUCUGUCCAGACACUCAAACGUCUCCGAAAGCAUGAGUCUCAACAAUAGAUCUGUGAGGAGCUAGUACUCAUUUAUUUUAGUCUCAAAAGACAUAACUUUCCUGUUUUGAUUGUUCUCUUCCCAUAAGAAGGAAUACAUUUGGGAUUAAUAUUAAAUAAAACAUUGGGGAACUGG
rnacentral:lncRNA from 1 species